GCGGACAUAGCUCAGUUGGGAGAGCGUCAGACUGAAGUCAACUUCAUUCACUUAAUCUGAAGGUCGUGUGUUCAAUCCACACUGGCCGCA
rfam:Colletotrichum orbiculare MAFF 240422 contig02369, whole genome shotgun sequence.